GGCAUAUAGACGGUGGGAGGAAGACCCGAGGUCACUCCCGGGUUGGAGCAUAGCUGGACCUGCCAACUGGCCGCAUCUAGAUGUCAACUAUUCUCAUCAUAGACCGACCUGGCACCGAGAGGAUUUCCUCCAGCUUCGGGUGCGGGGACACACACACACAGAGUAAAGAAAGCAAACCGUUUUCACACAAAGUAGAUUGUGUUUCGUUGCUCUCGGAAAAUGCUACCCUACAGAAAGUAAGCAGGAACAAAAUUGUUUAAGAAGGAACUGCAGAUGCUGGAAAAUCGAAGGUAGACAAAAAUGCUGGAGAAACUCAGCGGGUGCGGCAGUAUCUAUGGAGCGAAGGAAAUGGGCAAUGUUUCGGGUCAAAAACUUCCUUCAGAAUUUAGAACAAAAUUGUAAUAUUUUCAAAACAUUAAAUUAUGUGUCCAAUAU